AUUGAACGCUGGCGGCAGGCCUAACACAUGCAAGUCGAGCGGAGCGGCGGACGGGUGAGUAAUGCCUAGGAAUCUGCCUGGUCGUGGGGGAUAACGUCCGGAAACGGGCGCUAAUACCGCAUACGAUUGACUGAGCCGAUGUGGGAUUAGCUAGUUGGCGGGGUAAAGGCCCACAAAGGCGACGAUCCGUAGCUGGUCUGCGAGGAUGAGCAGUCACACUGGAACUGAGACACGGUCCAGACUCCUACGGGAGGCAGCAGUGGGGAAUAUUGGACAAUGGGCGAAAGCCUGAUCCAGCCAUGCCGCGUGUGUGAAGAAGGUCUUCGGAUUGUAAAGCACUUUAAGUUGGGAGGCGUUACCAACAGAAUAAGCACCGGCUAACUUCGUGCCAGCCGCCGCGGUAAUUC
rnacentral:rRNA from 1 species